AAGGCUAGGUUCCUUAGUAAGGGCGUGGGGAGAGGUGGGACUACCCCAUAGGAUCCUGUGGGGAGGCCAGGCCCCUCCAUAAGUGUUAGAGAUGAGGAUCGGCCCUCCUACAAGGGCCUGUGGGGGAACAGAAUCCUUUAUAAAGUGCUGUGUGGAGGCCAAGCUCCUCUACAGGAGCCUGGGAGGGAGGUAAGUUCCCCUACUGAGGACCGGCUGGGAGGCCAGGAUCAUCUCUAGGAGCCGGGAAAGAAUCCAAACUUCUCUAUAAGGGAGUGGCCAGGCUCCCCCUAAAAGGACUGGCAGGGAGGCAAGGCUCAUCUAGAGGAGCCUAGGAGGAGGCCAGCUUCGCCUAUAGGGACCUGUGGAGGGGCCAGGCUCUCCUGUAACGCCCCCGGUGCGGAGGGGGGUGGGGAGGGAGUCUCCUCCAUAAGAGUCUGGGACAAGGCCAGGUGUCUCUAUAAGGGUCUGUGGGGAGGUCCAGCUGCCGCUAUAGGGAAUGCGAGGUAAGAAACCAAGGCCCUACUACUGAGGCUGGGGAGUGUGAGUUCUCUUCUUUCUACUUGUGCCGUAGCAGGACCCGGAAGUGCCACCGGAGCGGGGCAGCCUGUCUGCAGUGCCUGAGGCAUCUCCAGCCGCAGCGGGGCUCCAGUCUCAGCCUGGGGGACCAGGCGUCACUGACCCUUUUGAUCCCUACUCAGGUGCUCAGCUGCCCCAGGGAGCCACCGCUGGAGCCGAGGCCAUGCCCCACUGGAGCAGAAGUGAUUGCAGCCAGUCCCCAGAUGGAGGAGUCCCUGCAGAGCUCAGUCCCUCCUUGCAGAAGACAUUGUAGUCAAAGACCUAAUGAUCUUGAACAGCUGGGAGUAACUGGAAACACCACCACACUGGCCAGACCAACAGUGUCUUCUGCCUGGAGAACCUACAAACAGGAUCAACAGCAUCUAGUGAUGUAGCCGUCAACUGUGGCAUAAUCAGGCUCACCUGAAA